UGGCGGACGGGUGAGUAAUGUCUGGGAAACUGCCCGAUGGAGGGGGAUAACUACUGGAAACGGUAGCUAAUACCGCAUAACGUCGCAAGACCAAAGAGGGGGACCUUCGGGCCUCUUGCCAUCGGAUGUGCCCAGAUGGGAUUAGCUAGUAGGUGGGGUAACGGCUCACCUAGGCGACGAUCCCUAGCUGGUCUGAGAGGGUGAUCAGCCACACUGGGACUGAGACACGGCCCAG
rnacentral:rRNA from 1 species